rnacentral:rRNA from 1 species
CAUCUAAGCGGGAAGCGAGCCCURAGAUGAGUCUUCCCUGAUACUUUAAGUAUCCUAAAGGGUUGUCGGAGACUACGACGUUGAUAGGUCAGGUGUGUAAGUGCUGUGAGGCAUUGAGCUAACUGAUACUAAUUGCCCGUGAGGCUUAASCAUACAACACCCAAGGGGUUU